UACAGAGGGUGCGAGCGUUGUCCGGAAUCACUGGGCGUAAAGGGCGCGUAGGUGGCGACCCAAGUCGAUGGUGAAAGCUCGCCGCUCAACGGCGAGUCGGCCACCGAUACUGGGUUGCUUGAGCACUGUAGAGGCUAAUGGAAUUCCGGGUGUAGCGGUGGAAUGCGUAGAGAUCCGGAAGAACACCGGUGGCGAAGGCGGUUAGCUGGGCAGUUGCUGACACUGAGGCGCGACAGCGUGGGGAGCGAACAGG
rnacentral:rRNA from 1 species